rnacentral:lncRNA from 1 species
AAUCGUGUGGACAUCACUGGGAAUGGAGGGAAAUAACUGACUGUAUGAUCGUUGCUUUUUAAGUUUCAAACUGACAUUCCAGGCGGGCUGUUGCUUGAGUGAGCAUCUGUCUUCAGAAUUUCACAGUGGGUUCCUGGGAAGGUGGAAGCCUCUCCCUGAUGGGUGAAGUGAGGAGCAGGAGGGGACCGACACGACAGAGGUGUGCAGCCUCCAGCAUCUCCUCCUUUGUGAACUGGAUCCUCCCCAAGGAGACUACGAGAUGAAGGACUUGGGGCCCCCAGUGGAUGUGGAUGAGAGUGUCUCUGGUCUGAGCUCUGUGCUGGGCUCAGGGGACAGAAGACAAAGCCCAAAGCAGCCCUGAUCCCUGCCCGAGGGAGGGGUGCAGAGAGUGCCUACGUGGAGGGGAAGUGAUUCCUUGCAGCCAGAGUCAGCUUCACCAGGCUCCUAAUCCAGAGGCAAGCCAGCUAAUACUUAGGGAGACACUGCAGAGACCUCUGGGCCCCUCAUAGGGUAUUUUUAAAUCAAGGACUCAAUUAUGGAUCACUGCCAAAGAAAAACAAAAUAUCCUGCCACCCUGGGAGAUGAAGUGAUGGUUUUUAUUUUUACUAGUAGAUUGUUCCAUUUAUAAAUCUUUGAUAAAUCCUUUUGCCCAGCCACACAGCAUCUGAACCUCUCCGGAAUUUACAAAAAAUAAAAACGUGAAAUCUGACAAAGGAAUGAGAGCUGGCCUUCCGUGCAUCCCAGAGCUUUAGAGCUUCUCAGGCUACAGCUCUGUGCGUUGCAUCUGUUAAGCCCCUGCUGGGUUGCAUCAUAUUUUGCAAAGCCACACGUGCUCUCUGAGGGCGACAGGAGCUAGCUCCCGUCCACCAGCUGGAAUCUCAGAGAGCGCAGUCUCUAAAAAUACCCAACUCUGCAGACUCACGCGGGGCCCAGGGGGCUUCUAGAUUGACAGGUCCCUUUAAGCAAAAACGUGGGUUUAAAAACAAAAAUCAGCAAGUCUUUUCCGCAUUGAUUGAUUUUUAGCUCCGGAGAGUUUUCGCAGGUCAUUUUCGGAGUAAUGGAAACUCCCCGGAAUUAUUUUAGGAAAAGUUAAAACGGGGCAAAGUGGAGCCAGCAGCCAGGCUUUGUCAGGGUCUGGGGCAUCUCCAGCGAGCGAGACGGAAGCCCAGCUUCACCGUGGCCAAGGUCACGGAGGGCGAGGCUGCGCCAGAACCUCUGCGCUGUGGGGCACAGACGGGAACGCGCUCGGCCGGCAGGUCAGAGGAGCUGCGCGCCUGCCCCUUCCAUCCUAGCGCGGAGGCUUCCUUCCCCCGGGCAUCCCCGGAGGGCAGGGGCCUGGUAUGGAACUUUAUGGUUGCUACGUGUAAGGGAGAAAACCGUGUCCAGAUCCCCCGAAAUGCACACAGCCGUGGGUGCGCAAGGUGGCACAACCGGAUGUGUGUGAAUUGUUCCCCCAGCGAUAUACAGAAUGAGGUUUUUUGGGGGAAAUACCUCCUCCUAGUCUCAUCGCUUCCAAAGACAGAAAAACCACAGGGUUCCUGGUAGAAGGGCGUUGGCUUUAUCAGCUUAGAGCAGGUCCUUCCUGGCCUCAGCCCCGCAGUAGAGACACAGUCAGACAGAAACGCACAGCUCAGGUGCUGACACACAUCCAGAGCUGUGUUCAAUCCUCAGAACGCCGUUCGGAAGAGGUUGGUGAGUCGCGGUGCCUUCUGCCUCUCUUUCGUUUAGUUGGGCACUGUGCCGAAUUUGAAGUCAUCUGAAUCCAAGGACAAGCCAAAAAAAAAAAAACCAAAAAAAAACCCCACAACCGGGUCGGUCCUGAACACAUCAUACUAACUUCAUAAUCUGGUGCCUCCAAGAAAACUCCAUCAGAGAGAUUGUUUCUAAGCUAGAUCCACUCCAGAUUGCUUGGCACAAGAAGCUCACUACUGCUGGAGGUGGCCUUAUGUGACACUGGAAAGCUAGCUUUACCAUGGCCCUGUGGAGUGGCAGUUGGGCAGGGAAGAAAUUCAGACAGUUCCUCCAAUGGAUUCUUUGGACAGGAUUUGAAAAGAUCUGGUCAGUGAUUGAUCACCCCAUCAUUUCUGUAAAAUCCAGGAGCCAUGUGUGAGAAUUCCAGUUGCUCCCCAUCCUGGCCAGAACUUACUGCCAUCAGUCUUUUCUGUCCUAGUCAUUCUAAUGGGUGCAUAGUAAGAUCUUUAAAAUUGUUGCCCAUUUUUAACUGGGUUGUUUGUUUUCUUAUUAUUGAAUUUUAGGAUUUCUUUAUAUAUUAUGGACAUAAGCCUCUUAGUAGACCUAUGUUUUGCAAAUGUUUUCCCUCAGAUUAUGUCUUUUCCUUUUCUUAACAGUGGCUUUUUGUUUUCAAUCUUGAAGAAGCCCAAUUUAUCAUUUUCUUCUUUUACGAAUUAUGCUUUUGGCAUUGCAUCUAAGAAAUCUUUGCCUAGCCCAAGGUCAUGAAGCUUUUCUUCUAGAAGCUAUAGAUAUUUCAUUCUGUGAUGAUUCAUUUUUAGUUAAUUUUUGUAAAUGAUACAAGGUACAGAGCUAAUGUCACUUUUUUGGCCUGUGAAUAUCCCAGUGUCCCCUCAGCAUUUGUUGAAAAGAUGAUCAUUUCUCCACUGCAUUGCUUUGCACCUUUGUUAAAAUGAAGUUUUUUCCGUGUAUGAGUGAGUCGCUAUUUGGAUUUACUUUUGAUUCUGAAGUUCCAUUGGUGUUUGUGCUUAUCUUUAUUCCACUGUCCUGAUUAUUGUAGCUUUGUAAUAAGUUAUGAAAUCAUGUGAUGGAAAUUCUUCAACUUUUGCUUUUACAAAGUUGUUUUGAUGACUCUAAGUCCUCUGCAUUUCUGUAGGAAUUUCAGAAUCAGCUUGUCCAUUUCUACCAAAAACCCUGCUGAAAUUUUGAUCAGAAUUACAUUGAAUCUAUAGAUCAAUUUUGUGAGAAUUUAUACCUUAAAAAUAUUGAGCCUUCUGGAGUUUCCAUCAUGGCUCAGUGGAAACGAAUCUGAGUAGCAUCCAUGAAGAUGCAGGUUCGAUCCCUGGCCUUGCUCGGUGGGUUAAGGAUUUGGUGUUGCCGUGAGCUGUGGUGUAGGUCAUAGACGUGGCUUGGAUCCUGUGUUCCUGUGGCUGUGGUGUAGGCUGGCACCUGCAGCUCCAGUUUGAUCCCUAUCCUGGGAACUUCCCACGGGUGUGGCUCUAAAAAGACAAAGUAUAUAUAUAUUGAGCCUUUUAACCCAUGAACACAGCAUCUGAUUUAUUUAGGUUCUCUUUAAUUUCUCUCAGCAACAUUGUAAAACUUUUGAUGCAUAGAUACUGUCCAUCUUCGUCAGAUUUAUCCUAAAUAUUUUAUACGUUUUGAUAGUAUUGUAUUAAAAUUUCAAUUUUACUGUUGUACAUUGCAAGCAUACAAAAAUACAACUGACUUCUUUUGUACAUUAACCUUUUAUCCUGUGUCUUUACUAAAGUCACUUUUUACAUUCUAGUAGCUUUUUGUUGCCAUAGGAUUUUCUACAUAGAUUUUCAUGUCAUCUGAAAAAAGUAAACAGCUUUACUUUUGUACCAUUCUGGAUUUUUAAAUUUCUUAUUUCUUGCCAUAUUGCAGCGGAUUAAAUCUUCAGUACAAUGUAAAAUAGACUCUGUGAGAGUUUCUGAUUUUAGGAGGAAAGUAUUCAGUCUCUCUUUCAUCGCUAUUAGUCUAUUUCAUCAACAUUAAAGAUGUUAGCUGUUAGUUUUUAGUAGAUUCCCCUUAACAGAUCGAGAAAGUGCGCAUCUCUCAGUUUGCUGAGAUUUUCUAGCAGGAAUAUUUGUCGUAUUUUAUUAAAUGGCUUUUCGUAAACUUAUAUAGUUUCCAAGUGUCUCAUUUCUAAGUUUGUCACAUACAGAACACAUCUCUUUUUACAUUCCUUUACUUUACCUGAUUAUAACAUAAUUGUCUUCAAGAUUUUUCUUCUACAUACAUUUAGAAUCACUUUAGCCGUGUUAUAGUUUUUGCCUCAACCAUCAACAUAUUUUGGAAAAAUUCAGAGGAAAAGGAAAAUCCAUUGUAUUUACCAAUAUUACCAAUAUUGGGUAUUGUGUUGUUUAAUGUGUUGUUUCUUGUGCUUAUUGUGUUGUUUCUUCCGUAAGGAGGUUCCCGUAGUCUUUCUUUCAUUGUUUCUUUUCUGUUUAGGAAACUUCUUAUAGCCAUUCUUAUUGGUAUAUCUGCUAGUAACAAAUAUUCUUAGUUUUUGUUUUUCUGAAAGUAUCUUCAUCUGCUAUUCAUUUCUGAAGGAUCCUUUGCUGGAAAGGACCGUUCAGCUGAAUAUAGGAUUCUGAGUCAGCCGUUCGUUCUUCUCUUUCAGCACUUAAAAGUACUCUGGCCUCCAUGGAUUCUAAUGCAAAUUUGCUGUCAUUCAAAAAUAUUUCCCCAUAGGUUGUGUCAUUUCUCUCUAUUUUAGAUACAUGUACAUAUUCUUUUUGUUUUUCCAGAGUUUGACUAUGCUGUGCCUUGAUAUAGAUUUCUUUAGGUUUAUUCUGUUUGAAGUUUACUCAGCUUCUUAUAUCUGUGUGUUUAUGGUUUUGUUUUUGUAAAAUGUUGAGUGCUUUAAGCCCAUAUUUGAGUAAUUUCUCAGUUCUGCCCGCUUUUCCUUUCCUUCCAGAAUGCCCAUGUUACAGAAGUUGGAUCUUUCGUUAUAGCCCCUGAGGCUCUGUUCCUUUUUUUUUUCCCCUCACAACCCAUUUUCUUCUCUCUGUUGUCCAGGUUGGAUAUUAAAUGCUGUCCUAGCCUCCCAUUCACUGUGUUCUUCUAUUUUGCUAGGGGGUGCCUCCCUUCAGGUCAGUUUUUUUGGUUGCUGUUGUUAUGAGUGUAUUUUCCAGUUAUAAAAUUGCCAUUUAGUGCUUUAUAUUUUCUCUCUCUUGCCUGGGACUUCCUACUUUUUAUUUCCAGAGUAUUUGUCAUUGUUCUUUGAAGCAUUUUAAUGGUGGUUGCUUUAAAAUAUUUCUCAGGUAAUUCUAGCAUCUGUCAUCUUGCUGUUAACAUCUGUUAAUGGGCUCCCUUCAUUCAGUUUGAGAUUGUCCUGGUUCUUGGCAUGAUGAGCAAAAUUCUACUGAAACCUUCACAUUUAGGAUAUUAGGUUAUCAGACCUCAUAUCUUAUUUGAAUCUGUUUUCACUAUCUUCCUCUGACACUGUAGAGGAAAGUGGGGGGCAGCAAGGUGUUGCCUCAUUAUUGCCGGGGGUGGGGUGGUAGAAGUCUGGGUCCCCACCCCCCUGCUUGGCCUCUGUUGACACUGGAGGAUGGCGGGUGGUCUCCAUCCUCCUGCUGGGUGGGGGGUUGAACUUCUGGCUUCCCAACAGGCUUCCACUGGUAGCUCCCCCAUGUGGCGGUGUCUGAGUGCCUCACCUGGCCUUGUCACAACCACCAAGAGGUAAAGCUGGUCCUGGUUCCCUACUGGACCUCCUGAUACCACCCUUGCUGGUGGGGAAGGAGCUCUUCUGGUGCCAUGUGGGAAGCCAGGUGGGGAUGGGAGUCCAGGUCCCCCCAUGAGGUCUCUGCUGACACAGGAGACGUUCAUUAUCCCUUUUGGGUAAGGAUGAAAAUUUCAGCUCCCUAGCUCAGCCUUCUCAAACAUCACCCCAGGUGGGAGGCCGUAGGGUGGGUGGGGCACCUAGUUACAGCCUAAUGAGGGUGAACUUCAGGAUUUUGCUUUGGGAGGUGGGCCCGCAGUAUUUUCCAUGGUGCCUGGCUCACGUGGACCAGCUGUUGCCUAAAACCUUUCUUUCUUGCGGGGCUGCUUGCUCCAGACCCUGGGCUAUAGAGAGCAGGCUUCAUGGGGUUUCUUCUUCAUCUGCUCUCUUUUGGCAUUUCUGAGUUCCUGGCUUCUUCUGGGCCUCGUCUGGGAUACAGGCGACAAAAAGAAACCAGCGUUCUCACUACUUUGUUCUACGAGUUCCGAGGUCCCUGUUGGUCCGUCUUCUGUCCACCUUCCAGCAUCGUCUUAUGUUUGUUCUGUAUAGAAUGUCCAGGGUUUUGUUUGUUUUGUUUUUUGUUUUUUGGUUUUAGUGGGAGGAAGCAGGAGGAAGGGAUAAGUCUGUCUGUUCUGACUUCCUCGGAGUGAAAGUUCUCAUCUCACUUUGGGAUGCAUUUCAAAGUAAGUUGCAAAUAGUCACCCUUUAAUACCUCAGCCUGAAUUACAGUUCAGUAUUUAUAGACAUCUUUCUUUUUUAAUGUAAAAACCAUGCAUUCAUUCCAAUGCACGCAUCAUCAGUGGACCAUUUGAUGAGUGUAACCCGCCCUCUAUCAAGAUACAGAGCUGGCCCAUCACCUGAGAAGCUCCCUCAUCCUUUUCCCCAGUCAAUCCCUGUCUUCCCCUAGAGGCAAACAUUGUUUUUGUUAACAUCCUGGAUUAGUUUUCUUUGUUCCAGACUGUCACAUGAAAGGAAGCAUGCAUCAGACACUCCUGAUGCUUUCUUCUCUCUACAUAAUGUUUUGAGAUCUAUCUGUAUUUUGUCUUCCAUUCCUUCUUCCUGUGGAGCUGGAUUCCAUUGCACAAAUAUAUGGAUGGGUGUUGACCCAUCCUCCUAUUGAUGGAGACCCGACCUCUUUCCAGGCUUUGACAGAUCCAAGUAAAACAAAGGAGAGCCCUUUUAAUUGGGAGCAUUUUUGAAAUGACCUGAACAAACCUGCCCUGGGAUGAGCAGGGAUGACUCAGACCUCUGCCCAGCGUAGCUGGCAUUCUGCUAGGGACAGGGAGACACAACGAACUAAAUAAGAAGUAGCCAAAUGACAUGGGCUAGCAGUGCAUGCUAGGAAGGAAGGAUAAAGCUGGGUCCAUGGGUGGGGCUGACAGGUGGCCCAAGGGUAGGUAGGGUAUCAUUUGAGCUCUGAAGGCAAAGGGAGGACUUAGGGGAAGGCAGGGAGGAUUCUUGGAGAAGGUGAGGUUGGAAGACCCAAGGACCUUUUUAAAAGUCUGUGUCUUUAAAGCUCCUCAUGCCUGGCAAUUUAUGCACUUCAGAAGUGUCUUCCUGAAGCUCCUGC